rnacentral:rRNA from 1 species
AUGAAGCUGGAUUCGCUAGUAAUCGCGCAUCAGCCACGGCGCGGUGAAUACGUUCCCGGGCCUUGUACACACCGCCCGUCAAGCCAUGGGAGUCGGGAGUGCCUGAAGUGCGUGAGCGCGAGCAGCGCCCUAGGGCAAAACCGAUGACNGGGGCUAAGUCGUAACAAGGUAUC